rnacentral:rRNA from 1 species
CCUACGGGAGGCAGCAGUGGGGAAUAUUGCACAAUGGAGGGAACUCUGAUGCAGCGACGCCGCGUGAGUGAAGAAGUAAUUCGUUAUGUAAAGCUCUAUCAGCAGGGAAGAAAGUGACGGUACCUGAAAAAGAAGCUCCGGCUAAAUACGUGCCAGCAGCCGCGGUAAUACGUAUGGAGCAAGCGUUAUCCGGAUUUACUGGGUGUAAAGGGGGAGUAGGUGGCAGAGCAAGUCCGAAGUGAAAACCCAAAGCGUAACUAUGGGAAUGCUUUAGAAACUGGUCAGCUAGAGUGCAGGAGAGGCAAGUGGAAUUCUUAGUGUAGCGGUGAAAUGCGUAGAUAGUAGGAGGAACACCAGUGGCGAAGGCGGCUUGCUGGACUGUAACUGACACUGAGGCUCGAAAGCGUGGGGAGCAAACAGGAUUAGAUACCCGGGUAGUC